CUUAUACAUGCAGUCGAACGAGGUAGCAUACCUAKUGCGAACGGGUGAGUAACACGUGAGAACCUGCCCAUUAGUCGAGGAUAACUAUUGGAAACGAUAGCUAAAACUGGAUAGUAUAUCGGAAGGCAUCUUCUGAUAUUUAAAGGUCCUGCAAGGGAACGCUAAUGGAUGGCCCUGCGGAGCAUUAGCUAGUUGGUGAGGUAACGGCCCACCAAGGCGACGAUGCUUAGCUGAGCUGAGAGGCUAAACAGCCACACUGGGACUGAGACACGGCCCAGACUCCUACGGGAGGCAGCAGUAGGGAAUUUUCGGCAAUGGAGGAAACUCUGACCGAGCAAUGCCGCGUGAAUGAUGAAAUUCUUCGGAAURWAAAGUUCUGUUGUUAGGGACGAAUGGCAGUGGUAGGAAAUGACCAUUGAUUGACGGUACCUGACUAGAAAGCCCCGGCUAACUAUGUGCCAGCAGCCGCGGUAAUACAUAGGGGGCGAGCGUUAUCCGGAUUUAUUGGGCGUAAAGAGUGCGUAGGCGGCUACUUAAGUCUGUCGUGAAAGCCCACAGCUUAACUGUGGAGGGUCGAUGGAAACUGGGCAGCUUGAAUGCAGAAGAGGUAAGUGGAAUUCCAUGUGUAGCGGUAAAAUGCUUAGAUAUAUGGAGGAACACCAGUGGCGAAGGCGGCUUACUGGUCUGUUAUUGACGCUGAGGCACSWWACCSUGGUUGCAAACAGGAUUAGAUACCCUGGUAGUCCA
rnacentral:rRNA from 1 species